GAUGAACGCUAGCGGCAGGCCUAAUACAUGCAAGUCGAACGGUGUCUUCGGACAUAGUGGCGCACGGGUGCGUAACACGUAUGCAACCUACCUUACAUUGGGGGAUAGCCUUUCGAAAGGGAGAUUAAUACCGCAUAAGACAGUAGCUGGGCAUCCAGCAGCUGUUAAAGAUUUAUCGAUGUAAGCUGGGCAUGCGUCCAAUUAGCUAGUUGGUGAGGUAACGGCUCACCAAGGCAAUGAUUGGUAGGGGAACUGAGAGGUCAAUCCCCCACACUGGCACUGAGAGACGGGCCAGACUCCUACGGGAGGCAGCAGUAGGGGAUAUUGGGCAAUGGACGCAAGUCUGACCCAGCCAUGCCGCGUGCAGGAUGAAGGCGUUAUGCGUUGUAAACUGCUUUUAUACAGGAAGAAACGACUCUUGCGAGAGGCAUUGACGGUACUGUAUGAAUAAGCACCGGCUAACUCCGUGCCUGCCGCCGCCGUAAUAC
rnacentral:rRNA from 1 species